rnacentral:lncRNA from 1 species
GUGGUUGCUCUCUAGGCGAGUCACCGUAGCGCCAUGCAGCACACAGAGGAAGUACCACACAACAAUGAAGAAUAUGGGACCUGCAAUCCUUCCUUCAGCUUCUCAGAUAAUCCUGGCAUCUACACCCACCAAGACCUCCCCUCCUGCCGGGGGCCCGUUCCACCCAGAACGACCGCUGCACUCGACACCAGCUUCAUCCCCACUGAAACUGCUCUCAGCCCUGUGAUCUUCAAUAACAAUGUUUUUACACCACCCAAAAGGUCGUCUAGUUUGCCAACCUUUAACUCAGCCGCUGUGGAUGUGAGCCCCACACAUAUGGCUCAAGAUGCUGCUCCAAGUGAAGAAAACCUCAGCUCCCCCACUGAUAUGUCCCUUGACCUUACCGAGGCCCUACCUAACACUAGUUCUGAACCUACAACCCCUGAUGCCACUACCUCUCCACCCUUCACCUGUCCUGAUUCACAGACUACACAAACAAACACCAGCGAUGACCCUGCUGACCCUGUUACCAGCCCCUCCUCUCAAUCCAGUGUUCCAUUCAGUCAUACCCGAAUUGCUUCAGCAGAAAUAGACAAACCCUUCCGCAAGCCUCGUGUGAAGACACCCCCAUAUUCACCUUUACUGUCUUCACCCCUCCCCAAGCAGACGAGCACGCCCCCGCCCACCCCAGAGCAUACACCUUUAAAAGCCAAGCUUGAUAGCAUAGAUAGGUCUCCCCUUGAUACACCUCCAGUAACACCAGAGUGUACAGCCAUGACUCUAAGCACAGAGGUAGACCAACCGUCCACAUCGCUGGACCAAACAGAGCACUCAGAGUACCCAGGUGGGGCUGCAGACGCUGGUAGUCCGUCUCAGGACAGGAGGCCCUUGACAAACUUGGGAAACACGCAGGACGGACAUGGGGCGGGGGACGUUGAUGAUGAUGGAUUUGAGGUAAAUAAAGAAGCAGACAAGAACAGCGAGGAUGACGAUGAGUUGGAGUCAGAUGAAGAAGAGCUGCUGAGAGUGAUGGCUCGUUGUAAUCCCAUUUUUAUCACAUUUAGUAAGUGAUGUCACUAUAAUAUUGCGGGACUGAGUGUGACAGUGCGGACGACAGAGAAUGGAAGAGGUUAGGUGAAGAUGGAUGACAGCGGACACGUCAUCGAUAAAAGAAGACAUGCAUCAUUUCACACACUGUAUACUGUAUAUGUAAACAUAAACAUUUAAUAACACUCAAUUAUAAGACAUAAUGUUGAUCCAUUUCAACCAUAUAGUUAGCCUAGAUAACAGGAACAGUAAAAAGAAGAGCCUGAAUCAGUAAUGAAUCAAAUAUAUUGUCUGUGAAUCUUUACAAAUAAUAAUGAUAUUGUGUUUUUUUUAUUAAAGGUAAAUCCACAUAAAAUGAAAACUGCUGCACUUUUCUCAAUGGGAUUAAAGUUCCAUGCA